rnacentral:miRNA from 1 species
GUAUUAGGUUGGUGCAAAAGUAAUUGCAGUUUUGCCAUUAUUUUCAGUGGUAAAAACUGCGAUUACUUUUGCACCAACCUAAUAU